rnacentral:rRNA from 1 species
UACAGAGGGUGCGAGCGUUAAUCGGAAUUACUGGGCGUAAAGCGCACGUAGUCGGCUUUGCAAGUCGGGUGUGAAAUCCCCGGGCUCAACCUGGGAACUGCAUCCGAGACUGCUUUGCUAGAGUAUGGGAGAGGGAAGCGGAAUUUCUGGUGUAGCAGUGAAAUGCGUAGAUAUCAGAAGGAACAUCAGUGGCGAAGGCGGCUUCCUGGACCAAUACUGACGAUCAGGUGCGAAAGCGUGGGGAGCAAACAGG